rnacentral:rRNA from 1 species
UACGGAGGGGGUUAGCGUUGUUCGGAAUUACUGGGCGUAAAGCGCGCGUAGGCGGGCUAGUAAGUCAGAGGUGAAAUCCCAGGGCUCAACCCUGGAACUGCCUUUGAUACUGCUAGCCUUGAGGUCGAGAGAGGUGAGUGGAAUUCCAAGUGUAGAGGUGAAAUUCGUAGAUAUUUGGAGGAACACCAGUGGCGAAGGCGGCUCACUGGCUCGAUUCUGACGCUGAGGUGCGAAAGUGUGGGGAGCAAACAGG